rnacentral:rRNA from 1 species
AUGACCAGAGUUCCGCGAGGAUAUAUAGCCCGGAGACGACGAACAAAAAUGCGUUCAUUUGCCUCAAACUUUAGAGGGGCUCAUUUAAGACUUAAUCGAAUGAUUACCCAACAGGUAAAAAGAGCUUUUGUUUCCUCUCAUCGAGAUAGAGGUAGGCAAAAGAGGGAUUUUCAUCGUUUGUGGAUCACUCGGAUAAACGCAGCAACGCGGAAGAAAUUGAUUCUUAAUCGUAAAAUGCUUGCACAAGUAGCUGUAUCAAAUCCAAAUAAUCUUUACACGAUUUCCAAUAAAAUAAAGAUCAUCAAUUAA